GGCUGUCACGCUCGCUCAGGCACGCGACAGCUGUUCCCCUCUGGAGGUUUUGACCUUCAAACUUAUCAGGCCGCGGGAAAUAUCCAGCGGCCUUUUUU
rnacentral:sRNA from 1 species